UGCAUGAUGGAUGGGCUGCAGGGCCAUUAAUCACAGGCGGGGGAGGAAACAGGUGGCCACCGCGGGCUCGGCCUUGGACCUCCCUCCGGUAGGGCUGGUGGAGCCGGGGCCUCCGCUGCCCAGCUCCGGGUUUGAGCCCUUGGCCCGCCCUAACCUGGCUACGUGACUUGGGACGGUGUGACUUUCCUACUUUGCACCCUCACCCCCCCCCCCACAUGGAGCUGGUAUUCAUGCACUCCCUCAGGCUGGGACUAGGACAAGUGCACUUUUGAGUGAGGCACUUUCUUCAGGCAUAACAUUUAAGGGGGCACCAAAAAUCUCAGUCUACACGCUAAACACGAUUUUCAUGCAACUUUUUUUUUUUUUUUUUUUAUUGUGGUAAAAGAUACGUAAAAUUUACCACGGGAGACAUUUAAUCCAUUCGCCACGUUGUACAAUGAUCACCUUUAGUUCCGGAACAUUCUGUCACUUCAAAAAAGAAGCCCUAUGCCCAUCAGCAGUCACUCCCCAUCCCCAUGCCUCAGCCCCCUGUCCCCACGAACCCCCUUCCUGGCGGUGGAUGAGACUGUUCUGGACGUUUCACACAUGUGGACUCACGCCCCGUG